AAAAAAUUUCUGGGAAGCACAGGAGAUUUCAAAACCAAGAAGAAAUAUCAGAAAUUGAUGGUCAAUUCAACAGGGACGCCGAGAGCUUGGUCAGUGAUUUUGUCCAAGAACUGAACAUUAGAUACAUUAAAAAAUGUGAAUCUGAAGUAAGGAAAGGCAAAAUUAAGUGUAGGAAAACAUUAGGACGCCAACAACCAAAAAAGUGGCCCAAGUAUAAAGAAAAAAAAUUAUGCGAGAGAAAUACUAGGGUAAAAAAAAAAAACUUCAUAUCAGGGCAGUAAUGACGUAAGUUCACUGACUAUGCUAUCUUAUGUGCCCUUCAACCAAAAUGCCGGCUCAAGAGUGGGGAAAUAUUCUCGCAGAAAAAUUAGGAAUGAACACUCAAAAAUGGGAUCGAUAUACAGAGUGGGAGAUGUUGAGACUUCAUCAGAUGUUACCUCCAGGAGGAGAAGAAGGAGGAUUCAAAGCAAGUCCUACAAUGUUUACAAAGAAAAUGACACUUAUGACCAUUUAAAACUGAAUAAUCAUGCACGAGGGAUCUACCGUUCCAAGUCACAGGAAAGCACGUACAAAGUGAGACAUCCACAACAAAAAAGACUGCGGAAAAACCGACUUAUAACUCAUCAUAGAGAUCCAAAACUUCGUAGCAGGAGGUCGCAACUUUCUGUGCCAACUUCAGAACAAGAAGAUUUAGACUCUUGUGAGCUCAUAGGAAAUAGACGACACAGCAAUCAAGAAGAAAGACUGGAAAAAGAGAGUGCUGUAAGAGGUACAUUGGAAGAAAACACAAUAUCUGAUUGGAAUAGAGAAGCUACGGCUAAAGCUGAGAUUUUCGAAAGAUUAUCUGGUCGGGAUAGGAAAAACUUCAAUAACAGCUUAGCAAAUUUAUCUGGGAGAGAUUCCAGAGAAGAUACGAUAACAUUAUAUAACCCAUUGCUCAAUUCAUCCUACAACUAUGUACGAGGGGGUAGUCAAGACACUCCCACUCAAAAUAAUUAUGAGAAAAUUAUUCUAGGUCAGUCGAACAGCAGAAAAGAAGAUAGGGAUUUGAGUGAUACUGGCUGCUUGGCGAGUGCAAGAAUUGACGAAAUCAACUCAGACAUGACAAAUCAAUUCAAAUUUGAAGUGAAUCUCGAGAAAAACUUCCAGAUGAAUGGGCAAGUGUCACUCCCAAAGGAUUCUGAUACGAGUUUAAUCCAGCAGAAUUCAAAAAUCGAUGUCAAAAUUGAAACAAGCCAGAUAAAAAUACAAAAAGGACCUGGGAUUUCUCACAUUUGGAAUGGAGGAGACUCUGAAAAAACUAGCAGCCCAGUAGACAGCUUCUCUGUCAGCAAGAUUCCAUCUGACACAUUCAACAAGAGAUACAGGAAGAACAGACUUAAUGGGAACUUUGGCAUCCUCAGCCGAAUCAGCGUCCCAGACUUCCAUCAAAAGGAGGUGUUCACAACCAAGAACUUCAAGAGGCCUCAACAAAACAAAAACCAACAAACACAAAAUGAAAACAACAGAUCCUCAAGUGAUCCACUAAAAAACAUAAUGCUAACGCAGCUCGUGAGACAGAAUUCUGGUAUGUCCCUACAAAAAGAAGGCAAGGUUGACAUAAAAAAGCGGUAUCUUUUGGGAAAACUGAGUUCCGACACUGUCUCUAAACCCAAAAAUGUUUCCGCUGACUGCUCCGACCAGAUACCAAACUCAGCUUCUCAUCACUUUGAAAGGUUUGGAAGUAUGGCCAGCAGAUUGUCUGAGGAAGAAGGGUCAGACUCCAGUUUAAGUGAAUCCGUUAUAGUUCAAACGAUGAACCGGAAACAAAGCAAAAUUAAUGAGAGGGAAAGCGGCUUGGCCUUAAGGGAGGUCAAUCAUGAUGGCACUGAAAGAGAUGGAUCAACUGGUGUGGAUGUAAACUAUCAGCGCUCAAGCAGCUUGCAGGAACAUACAAGUAAACAUAGAACCUGCUUCCAUCAACAUAAAGAAUGGCAGCAGGGUUGUUUCAAAGAAUCUCCGAAAAACGAAAGAGUUUGGAGUGAGAAUGAGCCCAAGGAAGGCGGCUUUAAAACACUUCAGAAAAAAUGUGCCGUUGCCAGCUGCAACAAACACGCAGUUAUCGAUAUCACAGAAGCUCUAGAGCAGAGCAAACAAAACGAUUGCAAAUCAAAAAUCGAAAGAAAGCCUAAAACUUGUUCCCAUAAAAAACCCGUCGAAAGCACCUCAAGUCACAAAACAUGCUUAUCAUGCACUGCACCUCUGACAAACCAAAACUCAAAAACUCAGCCUUGCAACAGUGCAAAGCGCUCGAUUCCCUCAGAUACCUUCCCUUUAACCCAUAACUUUCCAGGCCACUUAGAAGAUGUCCCAUAUUUCCGCUCUCCAAGUCAAGAGGAUUUCCAGCAGUAUAUCAGUCGGAUGCAACCCUGCAUCAGUGCAAAACAACCUAGCCACCACUUGUCAGCAAAAAAGUACGAUACCCUGCCUGCCAGGAGUGUUAGCCCCAACAAGUACAGCGUGCCAAAUUACUGGGAGACAGGAAACUGUGUGCAUACCCUGACUGAUUACACGAACUGUUUGUAUGCUAACCAGGAGACCUUUGUUUACCACUGCACUCAAGAAAAAGGAGCAAAUAAUUAUGAUUUUCAGCCGGACAAUGAUUUCAAGCCUUUACCAUUCAUGCAGUCGACAAGACCACUUGUUGACUCGUGCGGCCGACCUCUCUUAAUUCUUGACGGUGAUGGACGUCCAUUGAUGAACUAUGAUGGCCAGCCAAUCUUGCCGGAAAAUGUCCAAGAAGAUUAUCAAAAUUUAAACGAACUGCUAUUAGAGCGGGAGAAAUCCAAUCAGACAAAUAAAUUUUCUUGCUUUGGGUUUCAUUAAAAACUUUCUCUGAACAAAUAAGUUUGAUGAUGAUUUUGUACAAAGGGGUGACGAUAAAAAAAAAAUUAUCCGGUUCACUCUGUCAUCCUGAGAAAAAACUUUACUUGAGCAUGUUGCAAACAUUCCUUAAAAAUAUUUUUUUGGCGGAGAAAUAGAUACUCUUCCUGGAACUUCCCACGUCCACUAUCUUGAAUGGUGAAUGAAUUUUUAUGAAUAUUUUGGAGAAAAAAAUUCUGGAGUUGUUCAGCGAACUCAUACUAAAUUGAAAAAAUUAGGUGAUGUCGAAGUGUUCAAAUUGAGUUUAUUCUUUGCACAGGCUCAAGGCAUUUUCAGCUGACUUCUUCAAAAAGGCUUUGAUCCAAUGCAUCAAGACUGAUACCCCCCCCCCUUUUCUUUAUACAAAAUGGUGCUGCCUUUAUCUCCAUUUACCACACAAAGUUUUGUAGGGGCAUUGUUGCUCAAAUGUACAAACAUUGUUUAGGUUCUAUGGUUUACUUUGUCUUGGUACUGUGACUUUUUUUUAAUAUUUUAUUUUGAAGGGGUGCUAAUCCUUUAUUUCAUACUGAGUUAGUCUAGUUUUAAAUUGAUGCAAAUACUCGUAUGGUUUGACGGUACUGUGCUUUUUUUUAUCGAUGCAAGCGAUGUAAUAAAUAAAACCAACUAAGAAACCUUAUGAACUCCAAGUUUUUAUUAAAAGUCUUCUCGCUGUUCCGGGUAAAACGAUCACAUAUCUUGAGAUAAAAAUGGAAAAAAUGGAAAAGAUAAUGAGUAAGUAAGGGGUACAGAAAGUUCCAAAUGUUUCUGCUUUCUGCCGAAAUUCACUUUCUGCCGAAAUUCUUGAAUUUACAUGGAAAAUGUUUUCACUUUUUGAAAAUUUCCUGAACUUGUUUGCUAUGCUGCUUUACCCUCAUCACAUUUUCUGUACCCCUAAAGUAAACGAUUCUCUCUUGAAAUAACUGAGAACUAAUACUUUCAAAGCAACUCAAAGCAGUUCUAUUCUUCCCACCCAGAAAGGAAAAAGCCAGUUAAAGAGAAAUAGUGUAAUAGGAGAGAGGAAAACUUGGAGAACAAAGAAACAGAAGCUUAAAAUCGAAUAUUUUCAGUUAGACUAUCACCUUUUUUUGUCUACGGCAGAUCUGUUGUAAUUCACUUUGACCGAUAAUAGUACAAAAAACGCUGCUAUGUUGUACAUGACUGCGCCAAGAGUCAACCAUGAGUCAUCUGGUAAAUAAAAUAAAUGGUAAGGUUAAAAAUUGUCAAGAAAUUACGCGGCUCAAUA
rnacentral:lncRNA from 1 species